rnacentral:lncRNA from 1 species
CUCUGACAGCGGAUUUGUCUCUGUUAUUAGAUUUGUAACCUUUAUGUAAUGUAAAUAUGUUGAUAUGUCUUUUUCAGUUUGCUGAAAAACUCUUGAAAGGGCAAACAGUAGCUUUUCCAGCCACCAAAAAAGCAGUAAAUGAGCACAGACUGCAAAUUUCAACCACGCUUCUCCUAAAGACUGAUGACCUCAAAGACAGGUGUCACUACUGUGGGGAAGAGGAGCAUGACACAGACCAGAAUUGGGUAACAAAAUCAAUUACAAAUGAUCGCUGCUGCGCAGCGAUGGGUUGGGUCCAGGCUAUUUUUUGCAAAUUUAGGCAAUUCUGAGCAACAAACAGGAGAAUAGGACGACAAGACAGUUGAAAACAAUGUUCAUUUUGGACCACUUUUUGAAAAAAAAAACUGAGUGACGUACUUCAUAAUUUUUUAUAGUUUUAAAUGUACAAAAGUUUCUUCAAUAUUGAGGCUACAGUUUGAUGAAAGUUCUGAAGCUGUGGUUGAUUUGUUAUGAAUUUUCAAAGUUUUGAACUUUAGAUGCUUGCUGUAGCACCACCAUCAGGACUAUUGGCUUGAGUUUACAGUUGAGGUAAUCUGGCAUAAGACUGGACCCAGCUGUUGUCAAGGCAGAUUUCAAAAAUGGUCAAAAUGUCAGAAAUUCUGUUACCUGAACAAAAAUCUGAUAAUACAUAAAUUGCAUCUUGACAGCAUGGAAAUGUUGGUGAUUUGUUUUUAACUCUAAGUGUUUUGCUUCAUAAGAGAAAAUCUGAUGUUUUAAAAAUGCCACUCUUACAUUGACUCCAGUUGUUCCCAUGAGAGCAGAAUUCAAAAUGUUCUCAAAAAUUCAGUUUUUGAGAUAAAAUUCUGAUAUUUGCCAAACUUCAUCAACCAUGACUCCAAAAUAUUCUCUAUUUAUUUCAGGAAGAUUAAAAAGGUAUUUAGCAAGAAUUUGAUAGUAUAUGUUUACAGUGCUGUUUACAGUCAAACAUUUUGAUGCACUGUAGGCUUAAUUUUUGAUAAAUAAAAAAUCAGAGAAACAAGUUUUGUGGAGGACGGUCUGAAGAUGCUCUCUGGCAAGUUUUGGGACAAUUGAGCAAAAAUUGUGGGAGGUUUUGAAAAAAAACUCCUUGGAAUUAAGUAAAUCUGGCAAGGGGCCGGACAUUUCUGUAAAGUUUGGUGAGUUUUCGCCCUUGGGAAGUAUGACUUCCUCGGAAGAAAGAAAGAAGAAAGAAAGAAUUCCUAGGAAUACAAUAGUGUCCUGGCAGCUUAGCUGCCCGGACCCUAACUAGGAUUCAUGAAACAUAAAUAUUGCGAUUUCUGAUGUAGCAUUAUGUUGGACUUUUGUAUUUUAACAAGAUUUUACUAUUUGAAUUCCACAUGGAAUAUGUUUAAACAAUGUAACAUCGAUACGCUAGAAUGAAAAUGUACAGCUUCUUUCCUAAGACAUCUUAUUUUAAACCCAAAUUCUUUAUUUUUCCAGAUUCAGUGUGAAAUUUGCAAGCGAUGGUUCCACCAUCUGUGUGUUGGAGGGCCACCAACGGAAGAGGACUUCUGUUGCCUUGCUGUGAUGUAUAGGUUCUAUCCGUUAGGUAAGUUCUACUUUUAUGUAAGUGAGUGCAUAUAUAUACUAUAUAUACAUAUUUAGUAGUGAGUGUGUAUGUGUGUGUUAUAUCACAUUUAUUACUUUAUCCCUGAAGGGAAAUUCAAUUCUCAGAUAGCCCAUUUACCAUUAAUCGAAGACUUUAAAGGAGAACUUCGGUCGAUUUAAACAUGCAGCUUCAUUGCUCAAGCUACCCUUGACUUGCGAGUACCGAAGACGCGAACAAAUUUGGUCCAGCCAUUACAGAGCUCCGUGAACGGAGACU